AAGUGGGCAACCUAACUUACCUUUUGCAAAGGAUAAAUAUAGCUUGUAACAACACUUUAAAAGUCUUUCAUUUUCACUCCCUCUUUGAAAUGCAGUAUUUGUCAUCAACUCAAGGCCCAUAUGUAUAGGAGUCUGUCUUAAUUAUUAUGGCUUACAGUGCAAUUCUGAAAUCUUUUAAAGGAAGUCUCCUAUGUCUCCUAUUCUUUUUUCUUUUUAUGUUCCCUUCUUUUUUUUUUUUUUCAAGUUCAUGUUGGAUGGAUAAUGUGACGAUAUCAUAACAAGGUUCAAGGGUGGCACAGGUCACACAUGCGUGUGAACACCCCAUCGUCACAGGAACUACAAAAGGAUCUCCCAUUGUUCUUUAACAAAAUUUUCUUUGCUCUUCUCAGAAAUUUUAUCUUGUAAAUGAACCUUAGUAUCCAAAUCCACUAAAAAUCUCAAGUUAAAAAAUGUUAUUGCAUUUAUAGAUCAAUAUGCAUGUAAGAAAAAGGAGAAAUUAACAUCUCAUUUCACGAUCCAAUACGAUGUUUAUUCCAGGAUUUUGGUUGAUUUCAUUAAUCAGAAACUGCUUAUGACUUGGAGAAAGUUUGAGCCAGGUAAAAGAAAAGCAAGUCCUUGUGCCAACCCUUCAGGGAGCCCAGACGAUCAAAACACACCGCCAUGAUUCCUUAAGAAUAAGUCCGUAUUUCUCCCUCUGAUGCCAGCAACCUGCAUCUGGAAUGUGAGCUGCUGUGUGAGCUGCUACCAAGCUGAUGAUGGGGCAUGGUAAGCAGGGAGAAGACCUGGAAAACACUGCUAGACCAACUCAAAAUUACAAAGUUUUCCAGAGCUUAUAUGCCUUCGAAGCUAUAUGUCUAUGUGUAAGUGUGCAUUCAUCUAAAGACAUAAGUGAUUAACUUCUCUUAAUCUAUAACUAAGAUCUGAGUCCUGAAGACCUUCCUCUGGAGCCUGAGUAAAUUUACUUAAUCUAAAUGGGUCCAGGUUCUGGGGUGAUUACCCUUAUCUUGUCUCCUGCUAAAUCAUGGAGGAUUGGGAAGUUCCUUCAGACCCUAGUAAACUCUUUUGUGGAGGCCUGGGGAGUUUCUUCAGAUCCCCAAUAAAACUUGCUUAAUCCUAAA